rnacentral:rRNA from 1 species
AUUGAACGCUGGCGGAAUGCUUUACACAUGCAAGUCGAACGGCAGCACGGGUGCUUGCACCUGGUGGCGAGUGGCGAACGGGUGAGUAAUACAUCGGAACGUACCCAGUUGUGGGGGAUAACGAGUCGAAAGAUUCGCUAAUACCGCAUACGACCUGAGGGUGAAAGCGGGGGACCGUAAGGCCUCGCGCAAUUGGAGCGGCCGAUGUCUGAUUAGCUAGUUGGUGGGGUAAAGGCUCACCAAGGCGACGAUCAGUAGCUGGUCUGAGAGGAUGAUCAGCCACACUGGAACUGAGACACGGUCCAGACUCCUACGGGAGGCAGCAGUGGGGAAUUUUGGACAAUGGGGGAAACCCUGAUCCAGCCAUUCCGCGUGAGUGAAGAAGGCCUUCGGGUUGUAAAGCUCUUUCGGCAGGGAAGAAACGCUCUGGCUUAAUACGCCGGGGUAAUGACGGUACCUGAAGAAGAAGCACCGGCUAACUACGUG